rnacentral:misc_RNA from 1 species
GAUGAAGAACGUAGCGAAAUGCGAUAAUUAAUGUGAAUUGCAGAAUUCCGUGAAUCAUCGAGUCUUUGAACGCACAUUGCGCCUCAUGGCAUUCCGUGAGGCAUGCCCAUCUCAGCGUUAGAAAAUAUUCUCAAAUUUUAGUUUUGUGCUAAAAUUUGGAUCAUGUCAAAGAAGCUAUACUAUUAUUGUGAUCGCUCUUUGGAAAUUGAUAGGUCUUUGAGUUGCUACUCAUAGAACGUGAUGAAUCUUUCUUCGUUCUAUUGUAAUUGACUCUGGUAGUCCUAAAACUUGUAUGCCUGUGGCAUAUCUUGUAAUUUGACCUGAGAUUGGGUAGGGAUACCCGCUGAACUUAAGCAUAUCAAUAAGCGGAGGA